GUGGAUAUAGCUCAGUGGCAGAGCAGAUGCUUAGCAUGCACGAGGGUCCUGGGUUCAAUCCCCAGCACCUCCA
rnacentral:tRNA from 1 species